AUCUUCUCGCGUACCUGUGCAAGCUAACGUUGAGCUGCCUCUUUUUGUAACAGACCAGAGCGCCUGUUGCCUAUUACCACUUACGCUUCUGUAGACAAGUCUUGUGGGUACUCCUCGCCAUGGCUCAGCUCCAGACACGCUUCUUCACUGACAACAAGAAAUACGCGGUAGAUGAUGUUCCCUUCUCAAUUCCUGCAGCCUCUGAAAUUGCUGACCUUAGUAACAUCAUCAAUAAAUUGCUGGAGGCCAAAAAUGAGUUCCACAAACAUGUGGAGUUCGAUUUCCUUAUCAAGGGUCAGUUUCUGCGAAUGCCCUUGCUCAAACACAUGGAACUGGAAAACAUCUCCUCAGAAGAGGUUGUGGAACUGGAAUAUGUGGAGAAGUACACUGCUCCUCAGCCAGAGCAAUGCAUGUUCCAUGAUGACUGGAUCAGUUCCGUCCAAGGGGCAGAGGAAUGGAUCUUGACUGGUUCUUAUGAUAAGACUUCUCGGAUCUGGUCCUUGGAAGGAAAGUCAAUAAUGACAAUUGUGGGACAUACAGACGUUGUAAAAGAUGUGGCCUGGGUGAAAAAAGAUAGUUUGUCUUGCCUACUACUGAGUGCCUCUAUGGAUCAGACGAUUCUCUUAUGGGAGUGGAAUGUGGAGAGAAACAAAGUGAAAGUCCUGCACUGCUGCAGAGGUCAUGCCGGAAGUGUGGAUUCUAUAGCUGUUGAUAGUACGGGAACUAAAUUUUGCAGUGGCUCCUGGGAUAAGAUGCUAAAGAUCUGGUCUACCGUUCCUACAGAUGAAGAAGAUGAAAUGGAGGAAUCCACAAAUCGACCAAGAAAGAAACAGAAAACAGAGCAGUUGGGACUAACGAGGACUCCCAUAGUGACCCUCUCUGGCCAUAAGGAAGCAAUUUCUUCAGUUCUGUGGUCAGAUGCUGAAGAAAUCUGCAGUGCAUCUUGGGACCACACAAUUAGGGUGUGGGAUGUAGAGUCUGGCAGUCUUAAGUCAACUUUGACAGGAAAUAAAGUGUUUAAUUGUAUAUCCUAUUCUCCACUUUGUAAACGUUUAGCAUCUGGAAGCACAGAUAGGCAUAUCAGACUGUGGGAUCCUCGAACUAAAGAUGGUUCUUUGGUGUCGCUGUCCCUAACCUCACAUACAGGCUGGGUCACAUCAUUAAAGUGGUCUCCUACCCAUGAGCAGCAGCUGAUUUCAGGUUCUUUAGAUAACAUUGUCAAACUGUGGGAUACAAGAAGUUGUAAGGCUCCUCUCUAUGAUCUGGCUGCUCAUGAAGACAAAGUUCUGAGUGUAGACUGGACAGACACAGGGUUACUUCUGAGUGGAGGAGCAGACAAUAAACUGUAUUCCUACAGAUAUUCACCUACUACUUCUCAUGUGGGGGCAUGAACGUGAAUGAUAAAUUUGACUACAGAGAUUGUUUCUGUACAUGAAAUUGAUAAAGAAGCCUCAUAUU